rnacentral:rRNA from 1 species
GACGAACGCUGGCGGCGUGCUUAACACAUGCAAGUCGAACGGAAAGGCCCUGCUUUUGUGGGGUGCUCGAGUGGCGAACGGGUGAGUAACACGUGAGUAACCUGCCCUUGACUUUGGGAUAACUUCAGGAAACUGGGGCUAAUACCGGAUAGGAGUUCCUGCUGCAUGGUGGGGGUUGGAAAGUUUCGGCGGUUGGGGAUGGACUCGCGGCUUAUCAGCUUGUUGGUGGGGUAGUGGCUUACCAAGGCUUUGACGGGUAGCCGGCCUGAGAGGGUGACCGGCCACAUUGGGACUGAGAUACGGCCCAGACUCCUACGGGAGGCAGCAGUGUGGAAUAUUGCACAAUGGGCGGAAGCCUGAUGCAGCAACGCCGCGUGCGGGAUGACGGCCUUCGGGUUGUAAACCGCUUUCGCCUGUGACGAAGCGUGAGUGACGGUAAUGGGUAAAGAAGCACCGGCUAACUACGUG